UCGUUAUGAAUGUAAAGUUUUAGUUUGAAUGAAAUGGUCUAGGCUAUCAGUCUUGAAUGUUAGCUAACCUAGCUAGAAGCUAUACCUUACAUUUAAAGUGGCUGCUGCUGACGUGAACUUUAACGUUACAGAGACAGGCGGCUGACCCACGUCAAUACCGAAGUAAAUGCCAGGGAUCUUUAGUUUGUGAAAGGCGGUGAGUUGUGACGACUGCUGUCCUGAGACCAUUGAGUGCAGUCUGGAAUAUUCCAAAUGUGUGCCAGUUCCAUAAGGAAAAAGUUCCAAUCAAGAGUACACUCACCAGUGGGCUCAAUAGUCCAGGACAAAGUCGGUCUGUCCUUCUACUACUACAUGCUACUUGACUUUGUCUGGAAGCCAUGGAUGCUGCCCUCAACAUGCUAAACCCUCACAAAUAAACUGAUAUCAAGAAUUAACAUUGAUGGUGAUGAUGGAAAGGCCUUCAUAAGGUAAUAAGGUGCCCUCCAACAACCCCAGCCUGGAGCCAGAGGCUGGUACUGCACAUCAGAUGGGGUAUGAUCUGUGCUAGGCAUCAGAAAGGUGGUCUACGCAAGAAGGCAAGAGCUUCUGCAGACAGUGUUGCAAUUAGACACCUGACCUUUACUGCCAAAGGGAUCCCCAUCAGAGCACCUCUGCCUUCCCUGCAGGACAACUAUACCAGAAGAGUACGGGCAUGGACUCAACAUGUUUUAAAGGACAUUUCACGCCCAGACCAUGGACUGUUGAGACCACUGAGGUCAAGCAGAAGUCUUGUUCUCACUCGAGACAGGUCAUUGACAGGCGGCGAGUGUCACUACCCAAGUACCCCCACUGCAGACGAGAAAGCCAUAUUGAUUUGAGUAUUUCUUGAUAAAUACAAUAAAGACCAUGUAACAAA